rnacentral:rRNA from 1 species
GAACGAACGCUGGCGGCAUGCCUAACACAUGCAAGUCGAACGAAGGCUUCGGCCUUAGUGGCGCACGGGUGCGUAACGCGUGGGAAUCUGCCCCUCGGUUCGGAAUAACUCAGAGAAAUUUGAGCUAAUACCGGAUAAUGACUUCGGUCCAAAGAUUUAUCGCCGAGGGAUGAGCCCGCGUAGGAUUAGCUAGUUGGUGGGGUAAAGGCCUACCAAGGCGACGAUCCUUAGCUGGUCUGAGAGGAUGAUCAGCCACACUGGGACUGAGACACGGCCCAGACUCCUACGGGAGGCAGCAGUGGGGAAUAUUGGACAAUGGGCGAAAGCCUGAUCCAGCAAUGCCGCGUGAGUGAUGAAGGCCUUAGGGUUGUAAAGCUCUUUUACCCGGGAUGAUAAUGACAGUACCGGGAGAAUAAGCUCCGGCUAACUCCGUG